CUGCUAUGAUGACUUUCUUAGGACACCUUUGGAUUAACUGUGAAAAUACUAAAACAUUCUGAGCAGC